AGUGGUGUAGCCCAACGGUAAGGCAGCUCCCUGUUAAGGAGUUGAUUGCUGGUUCGAAUCCAGCCACCACUG
rnacentral:tRNA from 1 species